GCUUCGCAAACUCAGAGUCCUGUUACUGAACGCCGGAGAUUUGGGAGUGAAGGAGCAGCUCUACUCCUUUUUCUGUUUGCAGGCAGCUUUUCUUCGCACAUCUAAAGGACGCGCACUUCGUUCGCCUCAUCGCGCAGAGUCUGACACUCAGGAUUGAAGCAUGGAUGAUGAUUUCGAGCGCCGCAGGGAGCUCAGGAGACAGAAGCGCGAGGAGAUGCGUCUGGAGGCUGAGAGGAUGGCAUAUCGGCGCAGUGAGGAGGAUGAGGAGGAGGCUGCUCGAGAGCGCAGAAGAAGAGCGAGACAGGAGAGAAUGCGCAGUAAAGACAGUGAAGACGUGGCCUUCCAACCUGAGACCCCAGAACUCAACAACAGCCACAGUGUGACUGUGUCUGAGAGCAUCUCCACCUCAGUGCUGAGCUCCAGCGGGACAGGCGAGGGGGACGAGGAGGAGCAGGCCCUGCUGGAGCGCCUUGCCAAGAGAGAGGAGCGCAGGAUGAGGAGGAUGAAGGAGGCGCUGGAGAGACAGAAGGAGGAUGAAGAGGAAAGCAGCAGCAGCAGCCUGAGACGAGGCAGGAGCUACGAGCCUGAAGAGCAACACAACAACAACAACAACCAAGAGGAGAAGGAGGAGGAGAAACAAGAAGAGGAAGAGGAGGAGGAGGACGUCAGAUGUAGAGAAGAAGAAGAGGAGGAGGAGCAGCGAGUGGAGGAGAAGCAACAAAGGUCUUAUUUAAGCGAACGGGAGUCGGUUGAGGAAAUAUCUAAAAUACCUGAUGAGGGGAAUAAUGAGCGAGAUGCUGUAGCUUCAUCUGAAGUCCGCGAGGUGAUUUUAAAUGAAGAUGUAAAUGAUUCUCAAGUUGUUUUGGAGCCGGAUGUGGAAAAUGACGCCUCGAGUGUACACCAGGAAAGCAGUGAGAUAGAGCGAUUGACAGAGAAUGGAGUGGAUGAAAUGAGAGAGGCAGAAAACUUUGAGAAAGAUGAGGCAGAGGUUUCAGAAAAUGAGGAGGCGUUGAUGGAAGACGAAGAUGUGAUGAGGAAGAAUAAACAGCCCAACGGAGGAGUGUGCGAGGACAGUCCUCCCAAACACAAGAAAGCCGAGAGGACUUUCAGCCGAGGCAGUUUGCGUUCUCCCGAGGCGCCGGACGCAGACGAUGAAGAUGCGCGUCUGGAGGCGGAGAGGAAGCUGGAGGAGCUGAAGAGGAGGAGAGAUGAGAUGGAGAGCGAGGAGUUUGAGAAGAUGCGGCAGAAGCAGCAGGAGGCCGAGGUGGAGCUGGAGGAGCUGAAGAGGAAGAGGGAGGAGAGGAGGAAGGUGCUGGAGGAGGAGGAGCGGCGGAGGAAGCAGGACGAGGCUGACAGGAAAACCAGAGAGGAGGAGGAAAAGAGGAGGAUGAAGGAGGAGAUAGAGAAGAGAAGAGCAGAGGCGGCCGAAAAGCGUCAGAAAGUGGAGGAUUCAGUGGACGGAGAGGCCAGAAAGCCUUUUAAGUGUGUCAGUCCCAGAGGAUCCUCACUGAAGAUCGGUGAAAGGGCAGAAUUUCUCAACAGAUCAGCACAGAAAAGUUCUGUGAAGGCGUCUCACACUCCUGUGGUGUCUAAGAUUGAUAACCGAUUAGAGCAGUACACCACCGCGGUGCAGGGCAACAAGGAGGUCAGAUCUCCCAGAUCAGGCGCCAUAGAUCUUCCAAUGGUGACGGACGGCAUUCGCAACAUCAAGAGCAUGUUUGAGAAGGGAAAUGUCUUCAGCUCUGGCGGGAGCCCAGCUUCCACCAAUAAGGAUGCAGCUGGGAUAAAGGUGGGCGUGGCCGGUCGCAUCAAUGAUUGGUUGAAUAAAACUCCAGAGACAGGCAAAAUGUCAGGAGGAAGACCUGCUGACCUGAAACCGGGCGACGUGACCAGCAAACGCAGUCUAUGGGAAAACAAAGGCUCCUCUGCUACCAAGCUGUCCCCUAGCUAAUUGUCUACAGAUCUGACCACCUUGAGGAGGUCACAAGCAGGGGAGAGACCAAAUCUGUCACCAAUGGAAUGGGCCAUUAACCCUUCAGAGAAGCCAGAGAGGCAGGGACCAAGAGAAUGCACAACAUUCCUUUUUUUAUUAUUAUUUGUACUUUUAUUAAAACCAAAAAGAAAAAAAAAAUACAAGCAUUUUAUACAGUCAGGAUGAGAAGACACGGUAUAAAAGAGAGUAAAAAAAUAAAUAAAAAAAACUAUAUAAGUAUAUAUUUUAUCACUGUAUUCACCAUCUUGCACCGUCAAAACAUGAAUGCGUUGUAUAAUGUGAAAAACGAGCGAUCCUACUUUUAAUUCGGUUUGAUUAUAUAGCAAAUAUAUAACUGCAGCCAACUCGAAGCAUGACAAGAUUGUUUAAGGAGGAGGAUGAGGAGCAUAAUAUAAAUUUAGCUCAUUGAAACACGUUAGUUACCCUUCUCACCUGUUAAUUUAUAACUUGCGCAAAGCUUCACCUUGCAUUCCAUAUUGUUUGCCAGUUCAGUCCGAAUAUGAGCACCGUAGAGUAGCUGUAUUUUGUACUUUUUUUGUCGCAAUGACUUUUUUUUUUCUAAAUUGUCUUAAUAAUAUAUGUUAGCACAUAGUGUAAGUUUUUGUAAUUAACUAUAUAUUUUACAGCUUGAUACAAAAUGGUCUUUGCUUCUGCUCUCAAUAUUAUUUUAUAUCAAAGCAAGUUUUAAUUCAAGUCCAUUAUAGUUGUACUGUUAUCAUUAUUACAUUAUCGCUGGCUUUUUUUUUACUCUUGGAAACACAUCUUUUUGUAAGUGUUAAUCACUAUGUCAUGUGAAAUUAUCGGUAUUGGUGAAAGAGUGUACUCAGAAGUAAGGGAAAUGCACUUUUGGGCUUUUAGGGACAGAUCACCUAAUAAUGAGCAUUUAUUUUGUUUGUUUACCCAGCCUCAGAUAUUCCAAGAUGACUUUUGGCUGGCUUUUUCAUUUAACACUCAAAAGAAAAGACUAUUGCUGCUUGUUCAAACUGCUCUUAAAGUCAGUUAAAACAAUGCCACUUUGAAUUAUUUGGGUGGACAGCUUUAUUUAUGUUCAUACUACUUAGUGAAGUUUGUUGACAAACUAAUUUCGAGAGCAUCACAUGCUUAUGAUUGAUCACAGCUGGUCCCUCAUCAGUUCAUGAUUGAUCCACCAAUCAGAUGAUCCCUAACCCACUAUAAAUAACCAGUUUUCUAAUCUCAGUAUCCCCUUAUAUCCCCUUAUAGACCACUACUCCCCCUCCUUUUCAGAUGGGUGACAUGGUGGCUCAGUAAUUAGCACUGUUGCCUCACAGCAAGAAAGUCUCUGGGUAAAAUCUCUGGUUUCUAAUCCAUUUCUGUGCAGAGUUUGCUUGUUUUCCUCGUGCUCGCGUGGGUAUUCCCCGGGUUUUUCAGUUUCGUCCCAUAAUCCAAAAAACAUGCAACCUAAUAAAUUGAACAUAACCAAAUUGAUACCAUAGCCAAGCUCUUAGCAAGCCGUACAUCUCUCCUUAGCCUUCUUAUAUGCGUCAUUAGCCAGAAUUAAGUCAGGGGAGUUCAUCGAGAUCUACCUGAACUCAAACUCCUCUCUCGCUCUGCAAAUGGGAGAGGCUUUCUCCCGGGACAGCAUGCCAAAUAUGCUUUAUUAUUAAUCAUUAGCUAAGUUUAAACUCUAGAAAAUAUGUUAAAACACUUUUAGUUAACUUGAUCGAUAAGCAGUUUGUUUACAGUAAAGAUGAUGUGGUAUUGAAUGAACUGUGGUAGUGAAUAAAAUGCACCACUUGCAGGGUAAAAAACUCAUUAAUACCUGUAGUUCCUCAUGUCUUGUUAUUAAAAUGAUCAGUGUGUGCAAGAAAACUAUUUUAAUUACAUCAUUGUUGUCUUUAAUCCACUGCUUCAGCUCCACACUGUAAAAAGAAUCGCUGCUGGGUUCAACCCAAUUGAAAGAAUUAAGUUAACCUAGCUUUUAUACAUUCAAGUUGAACAUAAUACAAUUAAGUUGUCCCCAAAAACAGCUCCAGAAUUGUGCUGUUUUAGCUCGAGUUAGCGAAUAUAAUGAUUAAUUUAGUUUUGAAUGUAUUUGUUUAAUGUUUUUCCACUCUCAAAGUCUCAAUCUACAUCUUGGAUGGCCUGAGGGUGAGUAUAAAUGAUCUGAAAUGUUUCAUUUUCGGGUGAUCAAUCUCUUUAAAUGGCAUGAUUGAUCAAAUCUUAGCAUAUAAUGCAAGACAUUGUUUCCAAAAACACAUCCUGACUUCAGCAAAGUGAAUGUCUGAGUCAGUUUGUGUUUAUCCUUUAAGUGUUUCAGUUUCUUUCUGUGUUGCAAAUCAGUUCAUACUAAAUGGCAGCAUUGAUGUUGCCUGCUUUCGAUAGCUAGCUGGCAGAACCUCAAUAAUGUUGUCAUGUUAUAUUAAAAAAACAAAUGUGUACCACUUCUGACUUCUUUUGUCAGACAAAGAAUAUCCAGUUCUGCCACCGUAGCUUAACGCAAAUGUCUCUAAAUGUUCAACGUUCCUCUAUUCUGCUUGUAUUUCUUUGACAAUCAAGUUUUUCUUUUUUACUAUUUGUAAACACUUAUGUAUUGUUUCUGAGUAACACUAUGCAAGUCGCACCACCUUUAAUUGCAAUUACCUGAACAUUUGUAGCCACUAGUUCCAUACAGAGCAAAUGUUUCAACGUUGUAUCAUUGUCUCAGUGACCACAAUAAAGAGACCAAUGGAAAAAUCA